rnacentral:misc_RNA from 1 species
UUUCUCCACUUCACUCACCCAAGAUAAGUCAACUCAUUCGAGGGGCAACCUUCUAUUAGCUUCGCAGGUUGCUGAUGAUAUUGACUGCCCCAUUCUACCUGGGCUGCCUGAUGAUGUGGCAAAGUAUUGCCUAGCACUCGUUCCCCGUCCCUAUUUCCCAGCUAUGGGGGCUGUCUGCAAGAAAUGGAGAUCAGUUAUUAAAAGCAAAGAAUUCCUUGUUGUGCGAAAAUUGGCUGGG